GCACGAUAGUUAGCCGGYGCUUAUUCUUACGGUACCGUCAUUAGCCCUCUUUAUUAGAAAAGGCCGUUUCGUUCCGUACAAAAGCAGUUUACAACCCGAAGGCCUUCAUCCUGCACGCGGCAUGGCUGGAUCAGGCUUGCGCCCAUUGUCCAAAAUUCCCCA
rnacentral:rRNA from 1 species